GAUGAACGCUGGCGGCGUGCCUAAUACAUGCAAGUCGAGCGAACAGACGAGGAGCUUGCUCCUCUGACGUUAGCGGCGGACGGGUGAGUAACACGUGGAUAACCUACCUAUAUGACUGGGAUAACUUCGGGAAACCGGAGCUAAUACCGGAUAAUAUAUUGAACCGCAUGGUUCAAUAGUGAAAGACGGUUUUGCUGUCACUUAUAGCUGGAUCCGCGCCGCAUUAGCUAGUUGGUAAGGUAACGGCUUACCAAGGCAACGAUGCGUAGCCGACCUGAGAGGGUGAUCGGCCACACUGGAACUGAGACACGGUCCAGACUCCUACGGGAGGCAGCAGUAGGGAAUCUUCCGCAAUGGGCGAAAGCCUGACGGAGCAACGCCGCGUGAGUGAUGAAGGUCUUCGGAUCGUAAAACUCUGUUAUUAGGGAAGAACAAAAGUGGAAGUAACUAUGCACGUCUUGACGGUACCUAAUCAGAAAGCAACGGCUAACUACGUG
rnacentral:rRNA from 1 species